rnacentral:rRNA from 1 species
AGUGAACGCUGGCGGUAGGCCUAACACAUGCAAGUCGAACGGCAGCACAGGAGAGCUUGCUCUCUGGGUGGCGAGUGGCGGACGGGUGAGGAAUACAUCGGAAUCUACUCUGUCGUGGGGGAUAACGUAGGGAAACUUACGCUAAUACCGCAUACGACCUACGGGUGAAAGCAGGGGACCUUCGGGCCUUGCGCGAUUGAAUGAGCCGAUGUCGGAUUAGCUAGUUGGCGGGGUAAAGGCCCACCAAGGCGACGAUCCGUAGCUGGUCUGAGAGGAUGAUCAGCCACACUGGAACUGAGACACGGUCCAGACCCCUACGGGAGGCAGCAGUGGGGAAUAUUGGACAAUGGGCGCAAGCCUGAUCCAGCCAUACCGCGUGGGUGAAGAAGGCCUUCGGGUUGUAAAGCCCUUUUGUUGGGAAAGAAAUCCAGCUGGCUAAUACCCGGUUGGGAUGACGGUACCCAAAGAAUAAGCACCGGCUAACUUCGUGCCAGCAGCCGCCGUAAGAC